AAAUGAGAAAGCACCAUUUUAUAUGGACUCAAGUAACUGAUAAACCAUUGAGGGCUGGGGAACGUCUAAUUUGCAGGGAUUUCUAUUGUCCCCCAUUGCUCAACCGAGACACACCCCUCUGCCUUCACUCCUCCCUUCGCUGUAAUCUCUGCCACUUCCUUCACCUCCUCCGUCAGACACUGCUCCAUUCGUGUUGACUGCCCAGAGUCCACGGAUUUGAUCUGUGGAAAAUAACCUCCACCUCCAGGCACCCGUGAGCAUGACCUCCUUCAAACGUUCCUUUGCCUCAUGAGUUUGUUAAAUGUUGUUGUCAAAGUCCAUGGUUUUGCUAUUGUUCCAGAGCUCCGUGCUGUUAUCCAUGUCGUAACUUGAUUACGCGGCCCAAGCCCUGAACCAGGUGGCCUGAGAACAGAAGCCUUCAUUGUUUAAAUGGGAACGCGCGUGAACUGGAGAGAACGGCGUAGAACAGCCGUAGGACCUACGUCUUGCAUGAUAUGAAAAAAAUAUGCAUUGAUGGAAUUUUAUCUGAAUUGUUGAUAUUUCACCAUGCGGUCGCUACAUGGUCAGGUGAUUGCAAUUGUAGACAGGAUGUAUCCAGAGAACAAGGCAUGUCCCAUGUCCACUAGCCAGGAUGUGUUUCCCUUAGAAGCAAGGAAGUUCAUUCGACGCUCAGCUGUGGGGCGAAAAUCAUGGCAUGUUUGCAUAGUAGAAAGACCAAUGUUAAUGAAGCCAAUAUUGACCAAAGGAGGUCUUAUAUCUAAACCUGUAACGACUGACCGGUUCAUAGCAUACAGAUGCUUUGUCUAGUGGUGCUGGGGAUAUGGGCGGAGUUCCCUUUCAAUUCUAUUAUGUUCUAUAUGUGAGCAGAGUGACCAGAAAGGUGAAAACACGGUAAAGUAGGGGAGGAAGCAAUACGUGUUUGACAAUUGGGCACUGAUGGGAUGUAAUUAGGAUGUCUAUAAAUACACCUGGGCUUCCAUGACGUGGGAUCUCUUUGGGGCUUUCGAGAGCAGGGAACUCAGAACGCUGGGGCUGUAGAGCGACGUCGGGUGUCUGUCUUAAUUUAAACUACAUCGUGACUCAAGCCUGUGACAGGCGUUGGCCGCAGCUGGGGGAUCGGAGACGUUUGCUGCAGCCGGGGAAUCAGAGCGAUCGGCGGGCGUGCAGCGGGGAUAAGGGGGAACGGCAGACACGCACCGACCCUUGACUCCAGCUCCAGCGUGUGGCCACUGUUUUCUUCUCUCCCUCUCUAUAGUUUGUGUGCGCGUGCGCAUACCGGCGAGUGGGAAUGUGUUGGUGCGCGUGAGUGACUGUGGCCGCAUACCGGCGGGUUGGUGCGUGUGAAGGACCGUGUCCGUAGGAGAAUAUAGGGAUAAGGUUUUGGGAGAUUGUCAGUGGUGGGUUCGCCCUGCGUCUCUCCAAGAGCUCCGCAAGGAAAGGUCCCCAGAUGGGAAGUCCCCCUGCAUCUCCGGGAGCUCCGCAAGGAGAAGUCCAAUCCACUGACAAAAGCAAGGACUUCUUAUACAGUGGCAGACAGGCCUCAAGGAUGCUGAGAACAGCUGUGCCCCCCAAUACAAAUAUAGUAUUGUUUAAGCCAUAUUGUAAUCCAUCG
ensembl:lncRNA